GACGAACGCUGGCGGCGUGCUUAACACAUGCAAGUCGAGCGACGCUCUUCCUUCGGGGAGCUGACGGAGCGGCGAACGGGUGAGUAACACGUGGGCAACCUGCCCCUAGCUCUGGGACAACACCGGGAAACCGGUGCUAGUACCGGAUACGACAUCGAGCGGCAUCUCUCGAUGUGGAAAGUUUUUUCGGCUAGGGAUGGGCCCGCGGCCUAUCAGCUUGUUGGUGGGGUAAUGGCCCACCAAGGCGACGACGGGUAGCCGGCCUGAGAGGGCGACCGGCCACACUGGGACUGAGACACGGCCCAGACUCCUACGGGAGGCAGCAGUGGGGAAUAUUGCGCAAUGGGCGAAAGCCUGACGCAGCGACGCCGCGUGAGGGAUGACGGCCUUCGGGUUGUAAACCUCUUUCAGCAGGGACGAAUUCAGACGGUACCUGCAGAAGAAGCACCGGCCAACUACGUG
rnacentral:rRNA from 1 species